GACGAACGCUGGCGGCGCGCCUAACACAUGCAAGUCGAACGGGAUCUUUUAGGAAGCUUGCUUCCUGGCUGAUCUAGUGGCGGACGGGUGAGUAACACGUGAGCAACCUGCCGCGGAGUGGGGGAUAACGUCUGGAAACGGACGCUAAUACCGCAUAACAUAUUUGGGGGACAUCCCCCGGGUAUCAAAGGAGUAAUCCGCUCAGCGAUGGGCUCGCGCCCGAUUAGAUAGUUGGUGAGGUAACGGCUCACCAAGUCGACGAUCGGUAGCCGGACUGAGAGGUUGAACGGCCACAUUGGGACUGAGACACGGCCCAGACUCCUACGGGAGGCAGCAGUGGGGAAUAUUGGGCAAUGGGGGAAACCCUGACCCAGCGACGCCGCGUGAGUGAAGACGGCCUUCGGGUUGUAAAGCUCUGUUUCGGGGGACGAUAAUGACGGUACCCCGGGAGGAAGCCACGGCUAACUACGUGCCAGCAGCCGCAGUAACAC
rnacentral:rRNA from 1 species